rnacentral:rRNA from 1 species
CAAUAGCGUAUAUUAAAGUUGUUGCAGUUAAAAAGCUCGUAGUUGGAUUUCUGGUAGGAGCGACCGUGCCGAACUUGAUUGUUCGAGUAUUGUGUUGACUUCAGCCAUCCUCGUGGAGAACUUUUCUAACAUUAACUUGUUGGGAUUGGGACCCGCGUCGUUUACUGUGAAAAAAUUAGAGUGUUUAAAGCAGGCAUUAGCUUGAAUACAUUAGCAUGGAAUAAUAAGAUAGGACUUUGGUACUAUUUUGUUGGUUUGCAUACCAAAUUAAUGAUCAACAGGAACAGUUUGAGGAUAUUCGUAUGAACAUGUCAGAGGUGAAAUUCUUGGAUUUUGAUCAGACGAACUACUGCGAAAGCAUUUAUCAAGGAUGUUUUCAUUAA